GGGUUGUGAGGUUAAGCGACUAAGCGUACACGGUGGAUGCCCUGGCAGUCAGAGGCGAUGAAGGACGUGCUAAUCUGCGAUAAGCGUCGGUGAGGUGAUAUGAACCGUUAUAACCGGCGAUUUCCGAAUGGGGAAACCCAGUGUGUUUCGACACACUAUCAUUAACUGAAUCCAUAGGUUAAUGAGGCGAACCGGGGGAACUGAAACAUCUAAGUACCCCGAGGAAAAGAAAUCAACCGAGAUUCCCCCAGUAGCGGCGAGCGAACGGGGAGGAGCCCAGAGCCUGAAUCAGUGUGUGUGUUAGUGGAAGCGUCUGGAAAGGCGUGCGAUACAGGGUGACAGCCCCGUACACAAAAAUGCACAUAUUGUGAGCUCGAUGAGUAGGGCGGGACACGUGGUAUCCUGUCUGAAUAUGGGGGGACCAUCCUCCAAGGCUAAAUACUCCUGACUGACCGAUAGUGAACCAGUACCGUGAGGGAAAGGCGAAAAGAACCCCGGCGAGGGGAGUGAAAAAGAACCUGAAACCGUGUACGUACAAGCAGUGGGAGCCUCUUAAUGGGGUGACUGCGUACCUUUUGUAUAAUGGGUCAGCGACUUAUAUUCUGUAGCAAGGUUAACCGAAUAGGGGAGCCGAAGGGAAACCGAGUCUUAACUGGGCGUUAAGUUGCAGGGUAUAGACCCGAAACCCGGUGAUCUAGCCAUGGGCAGGUUGAAGGUUGGGUAACACUAACUGGAGGACCGAACCGACUAAUGUUGAAAAAUUAGCGGAUGACUUGUGGCUGGGGGUGAAAGGCCAAUCAAACCGGGAGAUAGCUGGUUCUCCCCGAAAGCUAUUUAGGUAGCGCCUCGUGAAUUCAUCUCCGGGGGUAGAGCACUGUUUCGGCAAGGGGGUCAUCCCGACUUACCAACCCGAUGCAAACUGCGAAUACCGGAGAAUGUUAUCACGGGAGACACACGGCGGGUGCUAACGUCCGUCGUGAAGAGGGAAACAACCCAGACCGCCAGCUAAGGUCCCAAAGUCAUGGUUAAGUGGGAAACGAUGUGGGAAGGCCCAGACAGCCAGGAUGUUGGCUUAGAAGCAGCCAUCAUUUAAAGAAAGCGUAAUAGCUCACUGGUCGAGUCGGCCUGCGCGGAAGAUGUAACGGGGCUAAACCAUGCACCGAAGCUGCGGCAGCGACACUAUGUGUUGUUGGGUAGGGGAGCGUUCUGUAAGCCUGUGAAGGUGUGCUGUGAGGCAUGCUGGAGGUAUCAGAAGUGCGAAUGCUGACAUAAGUAACGAUAAAGCGGGUGAAAAGCCCGCUCGCCGGAAGACCAAGGGUUCCUGUCCAACGUUAAUCGGGGCAGGGUGAGUCGACCCCUAAGGCGAGGCCGAAAGGCGUAGUCGAUGGGAAACAGGUUAAUAUUCCUGUACUUGGUGUUACUGCGAAGGGGGGACGGAGAAGGCUAUGUUGGCCGGGCGACGGUUGUCCCGGUUUAAGCGUGUAGGCUGGUUUUCCAGGCAAAUCCGGAAAACCAAGGCUGAGGCGUGAUGACGAGGCACUACGGUGCUGAAGCGACAAAUGCCCUGCUUCCAGGAAAAGCCUCUAAGCAUCAGGUAACAUCAAAUCGUACCCCAAACCGACACAGGUGGUCAGGUAGAGAAUACCAAGGCGCUUGAGAGAACUCGGGUGAAGGAACUAGGCAAAAUGGUGCCGUAACUUCGGGAGAAGGCACGCUGAUAUGUAGGUGAAGCGACUUGCUCGUGGAGCUGAAAUCAGUCGAAGAUACCAGCUGGCUGCAACUGUUUAUUAAAAACACAGCACUGUGCAAACACGAAAGUGGACGUAUACGGUGUGACGCCUGCCCGGUGCCGGAAGGUUAAUUGAUGGGGUUAGCGGUAACGCGAAGCUCUUGAUCGAAGCCCCGGUAAACGGCGGCCGUAACUAUAACGGUCCUAAGGUAGCGAAAUUCCUUGUCGGGUAAGUUCCGACCUGCACGAAUGGCGUAAUGAUGGCCAGGCUGUCUCCACCCGAGACUCAGUGAAAUUGAACUCGCUGUGAAGAUGCAGUGUACCCGCGGCAAGACGGAAAGACCCCGUGAACCUUUACUAUAGCUUGACACUGAACAUUGAGCCUUGAUGUGUAGGAUAGGUGGGAGGCUUUGAAGUGUGGACGCCAGUCUGCAUGGAGCCGGCCUUGAAAUACCACCCUUUAAUGUUUGAUGUUCUAACGUUGGCCCCUGAUCGGGGUUGCGGACAGUGUCUGGUGGGUAGUUUGACUGGGGCGGUCUCCUCCUAAAGAGUAACGGAGGAGCACGAAGGUUGGCUAAUCCUGGUCGGACAUCAGGAGGUUAGUGCAAUGGCAUAAGCCAGCUUGACUGCGAGCGUGACGGCGCGAGCAGGUGCGAAAGCAGGUCAUAGUGAUCCGGUGGUUCUGAAUGGAAGGGCCAUCGCUCAACGGAUAAAAGGUACUCCGGGGAUAACAGGCUGAUACCGCCCAAGAGUUCAUAUCGACGGCGGUGUUUGGCACCUCGAUGUCGGCUCAUCACAUCCUGGGGCUGAAGUAGGUCCCAAGGGUAUGGCUGUUCGCCAUUUAAAGUGGUACGCGAGCUGGGUUUAGAACGUCGUGAGACAGUUCGGUCCCUAUCUGCCGUGGGCGCUGGAGAACUGAGGGGGGCUGCUCCUAGUACGAGAGGACCGGAGUGGACGCAUCACUGGUGUUCGGGUUGUCAUGCCAAUGGCACUGCCCGGUAGCUAAAUGCGGAAGAGAUAAGUGCUGAAAGCAUCUAAGCACGAAACUUGCCCCGAGAUGAGUUCUCCCUGAGACUUAGAGUCUCCUGAAGGAACGUUGAAGACGACGACGUUGAUAGGCCGGGUGUGUAAGCGCAGCGAUGCGUUGAGCUAACCGGUACUAAUGAACCGUGAGGCUUAACCUUACAACGCCGAAG
rnacentral:rRNA from 1 species